rnacentral:lncRNA from 1 species
CAACAGUGCUACAGUCUUCUCGCAGUACAGUUUAUUUCCCUAAAAUCACUGUAUAACUUGAAAACUGCACUCAAAUCCAUGGUUACAAUACUGUUUUCACGUCACGUGUUACGUGUGUGAAUUAAGUAUAAAUAAUAUGGAUCACCUAAAAAGAACAACAUAAUAAUACAUUAUAGCAGUGUUGACCGUUAAGGACUAAAUCUUAUGACUGCGGUAUGUAUUUGGGCAUCGAUAUUAAAAUAUUACGGCACAGAACACCGGUCGUGGCAAAUAAGUGUAAUACCCAAAAUGGCCACUAGUUGGGCGGGUUUGGCCGGGGCCUCCUCUCUGGUGGGUCUGAGGUUCGAGUCCUGCUUGGGGUGCCUUGCGAUGCACUGGCGUCCCGUCCUGGGUGUGUCCCCACCCCCUCCAGCCUUGUGCCCUGUGUCGCCGCGACCCCGCUUGCGACCAGCGAUUUCAGACGGCCACUCCUCACCUCCCCCAGUCUCCCACUCACUGAAGGACAGAGUCCAGCGGGAAGCGGCUCCUCGCCCCCUCAUGUCAGCACUCCUUCCUGCCCUUGAGACACCUCCCAUAUAAGGCAAUGGUGUGAUGGGCCUACUAUUGGAGUGUUUUGGGUUGCAGGAAACUUCCCUGCUGGUGUCCUCUGUUCCUACUGAGGUGAGAACCACCAUACCCCACUAACCAGUCCCAAGCGCCGCAGUGUGGCCACCCGGGGUCCAGAGAAAACCCCCUUGGACAAAACCCCCUCCUUUGAAGCACAAAGUAGGACAAAACCUUCUUCAUUAAAUGAAAAAUUACAAAAGCC